rnacentral:rRNA from 1 species
GAAGGUGGCCUGUGAGGGUUGCUGGAGGUAUCAGAAGUGCGAAUGCUGACAUAAGUAACGAUAAAGCGGGUGAAAAGCCCGCUCGCCGGAAGACCAAGGGUUCCUGUCCAACGUUAAUCGGGGCAGGGUGAGUCGACCCCUAAGGCGAGGCCGAAAGGCGUAGUCGAUGGGAAACGGGUUAAUAUUCCCGUACUUGGUGUUACUGCGAAGGGGGGACGGAGAAGGCUAUGUUGGCCGGGCGACGGUUGUCCCGGUUUAAGCGUGUAGGCUGGUUUUCCAGGCAAAUCCGGUUCACUUUAAAACUGAGGCGUGACGACGAGGCACUACGGUGCUGAAGCAACAAAUGCCCUGCUUCCAGGAAAAGCCUCUAAGCAUCAGGUAACAUCAAAUCGUACCCCAAACCGACACAGGUGGUCAGGUAGAGAAUACCAAGGCGCUUGAGAGAACUCGGGUGAAGGAACUAGGCAAAAUGGUGCCGUAACUUCGGGAGAAGGCACGCUGACAUGUAGGUGAAGUGAUUUACUCAUGGAGCUGAAGUCAGUCGAAGAUACCAGCUGGCUGCAACUGUUUAUUAAAAACACAGCACUGUGCAAACACGAAAGUGGACGUAUACGGUGUGACGCCUGCCCGGUGCCGGAAGGUUAAUUGAUGGGGUCAGCGCAAGCGAAGCUCCUGAUCGAAGCCCCGGUAAACGGCGGCCGUAACUAUAACGGUCCUAAGGUAGCGAAAUUCCUUGUCGGGUAAGUUCCGACCUGCACGAAUGGCGUAAUGAUGGCCAGGCUGUCUCCACCCGAGACUCAGUGAAAUUGAACUCGCUGUGAAGAUGCAGUGUACCCGCGGCAAGACGGAAAGACCCCGUGAACCUUUACUAUAGCUUGACACUGAACAUUGAGCCUUGAUGUGUAGGAUAGGUGGGAGGCUUUGAAG